UUUUUGUAUUGAGUUGAUCCUGAGAUUCAAUUCAUGCCCAAGACAGGGCAGAAUGUUUUGAUGAAUAAUGCAGCCCUUCUCAGGGAGACAGGCACACUCCAUUUAAAGAAGACCUUAUGCUGUUUUGAGGGAGUAGUGUCAUUUCAUGGCAAGAAGUUUCCAUUCUGUACAGAGAGAUAAUCAGACGGAAUCAUGCAGCUGACCCAGCAUGUGACACCACACAAAGGAAUGAACCAAACACCUGUGAGCCAACAUGAUGACUUCACAGCCCAUUAAGGGAAGGUACUUUGAAAUUCCUUCUAUAAUUUCAGGAUCCAUGCCACUUUGGUUAUCAGGGCCUGUAACUGCACCCUAACUUAAGAGAAGUAUCUCAAAAGUGAAUGCUUACAAAAAGAACACUUCAGCAACUUCUGUUACAUGUAUGGAGGACCUUGUACCCAAAGACAGUGUCGGAUGCUAUUUCUUCCUUCCAGAAUAAAGGAAGGACCUGAGAACUAUUGGUGUUCUCAGAUUUAUUUUUUACUGCCUGCAGUGGUUGUCACUCUGACAGUGAAAACCUCAUUUCUACAAUGCAAAGGUUUACAUUUCUUCAUAUGCAUGAACACAGAAUAAAGCCACUAAGAGUUAACUCAGGAAACCUCACAGGAGUGUGGAAAAGACACUUUGAUACAGUCUUAAGUACACUUGUCUGGCGCAGAAUAUAGUACUCACCACUGUGGCAACUCACCCAUUAAAUACUGGCUUGUAAGUCUAGUUUCAUAAAAAUUAGGGGAGACAAGGAAUAACUGUUGACUGAAGGCCCACACAGGUGUUAGAAGCAGUUAUCUCCAAUUUUCAGAACAAGGGCUACACAAAUAAACUGUUCAACGACCUCAGGCUAUGGCCCAGAUUCCAAUGGAAAGAGGCUGAGCAAAAUACUAUGCCAGACUAAGGACCCAGCAAAUACUCUACAGGACUGCAUGGGAACUCUCGCUCCCCAACCUAGAUACACAAAAUUUGACCAGUGUGGCGGGAUCAAAAGACUAGUUUUACAAGGGGAUUAUUUCAGAGUAAGAAACUCAGCCACAGGUUAAAGAAGAGCAGUACAGUUUGCCUCAAGCUCGACAGGUAGAGGCUGCACAAACCACCAAUCUACAGGUCAUUUAUCACGGAAGUUAUGUGCUGCUUUCUACUGCAACAAGAGCCCCUCAAGGGUGAGAGGUAUUUAAGAAGCCACUCUUGUUCUGCCCAUUCGUGGAAGCUGGCUGCAGAGACCCUGGUGCUGACAGGAACUCAGGGAAAUGGUGCUGGUAGCAGAUGAAAAAAAAAGGCAAGUUGCCUGUCAUAAUCCUUCCAACAGAGAGAUCUAGAACUGUUUACACAAGUAGGGAGAGACAGUUUCCAAGAUGAAACAGCUGCCCCAAAAGAGGGUAAUGUGAAUUUGUAGUGGGAAGACUUCCAUCUCAAAAGCACUAAGGAACUUGGCAGUUUGCAGCAGCAGCACAUAGGCAAAAAGAGCGUAUGAUCUCUCCAUCCACUGACAGACAGGUUCCCAUCAAAGAAUAGCUCUGCUUUGGCUCAGGUAGAGUUGUGGUGUUAUCCAAAUGCUGUUUUGAAGAGGUGAUUUAAUUUCGUUAUUCCUAGGGAUAAUAUCUGGCAACUCAGAGGGCCAAUGAACAAUGAUACGAUUCUUUCAAGACUGGGUGGGGCAAGAAAGACCCAAGAGCAGAAGUCAGAAACAUGUCUGAAACCUACUUCAGAACAGCUAUGGCAAGUGUAAGAAUUAAAUUUUCAUUUCAUUUUUGUCAAAAAAAAAAAGUGAAAAAGACAUGGAAUUCAACACCAUGGAAUGGUGGGAUGGAAAAGAGUAGUUUCCUGCUUGGAACUGACCAAAUACAAUGGAACUACAAUGUACUUGUCUUCUCCCAAGGGCCAGAUGGAAAGGACUGGCAUUCAGCCAGCAAGUCAGAUCCCACAGCGUCCAACUGCUCCGUUCCAGACUGCUGCAGUACUCUGCUGAUGUUGUCAACCUCUUCAAUGUCAGGAAGGGCAUACUGGUUCCCUCCUGAAGGCAAGACGAUGAGACAAAGUUCCUGUUAGGCAAAGAUGAGAUACCCAGAGGACCAAAGAGGGCAAGGCUGACAAGACACAUAAGUUCAGGUUCAUGUUCCUUAGGAACAUGUAUCUGGCUAGUUACUUUGCCUGUACACUGAUGGGAUUUAUAUUGCUUUUGAACAUGUGCUUCUGAUAUUGACUGCAAUACGAUGAAAUAAAAGCUGAGCACAAGAGAUGAUGAUAAAAUCUUUAAGAAACUUGUACAGAUACUUUAAAUUGUCAUAAACUUAAUGACACCUAAACACAGCUGUUGCCAGUAGUUUUCCUAAUUCUUUCAUGCAGUUUUGAUGUUCUGCUGUGCACAGCUUUUCAAAGAUAAGGCCUAAAGAGUCACCGCAUGCAUGUUUGCAGUGACUUUUUGAGGACUACACAUACACACAUAGAAUGCCCCAUCAGCAGUAAUGACACGACCUGUGGGCUUGAAGAACUCUUUAGACCUGAACAGGUCGAACUGAGGAUGAACAGAACUAAAUGCAGUGCUGGGAAGUGAAGUUCUCGGGUCAAAGCUGCAGACUCAUCAGCUCUGGUUUGCAUAGCACUGGGGACCCAUUUCACACAAACACAUGGACUAGAAGGUACUGCAAACAAAAUGGGAUGCAAGCAACUUAAAGACAAGCUCGGAAUUUAGGCAUUCACGAUUAAUAGAUCAUUAAAUUUAACUUUUCACUGCAUAGCUUGGAUAUACUGCACCAGCUUCUGCACAGACCGAAUUCCUUCAGAUUUUGGAUCCUUAGUUUGGAUUCCUAUUAUCCGAGACACAGGAGAUGCAGCCAUCCUGUUUUACAGUCCAUUACAGAAGGAGAAUUUGGUAUGUAUUUUCAGUGGGCAAAUCACGCAUUCAGCAAAGUAUUCUUGGCCUUCAGGAUUCCUGGGUUCAGCCUGUGGUUUGGAGGGGAACAAGCAAAGGAGCCUCACUUUGCUCAAUCCCUUCGGAUUUCAAGAUGAAUCAAAAGGCACCAGAUUGAAGCAAGAAUAAUUAUGAGUUUAUAUGCCUUGUUAAUAUGUUUUAUUAAGUACGGGCACAUCCAGUCGCUUCUCCUGAAAGAUUUCACAGAGCUUUCACCGGCCGUACUUGCUGCCGGCUGCAGGCACCAGCCGUCCUUUGAAGUCCAUGCACUCUGCAGGCAAGAAGCCGAUUUCAGCGGCGGGGUCUCUCCACCCGGCUGCGUCCCUCUGACGGAAUCCCGAAGGCUUCCCCCGUACCGCGCGGCGCCCGAGAUCUCCUCUCCGCUGGACCCGCCGAGCGCCGCCCGCCGCAGCCGCUUCCCCCGCCUCAGAGGACAGCACCGGGCCCGGCCCCACUUCCGCCCGCCCUGCUCCCCGCCGGCCCAUGGUCUCGGCGGGGUUUCCUCAGGACGCGCUGAACGGGCGCUGCUCCCGCUGCCGGGCCCGGGGGGCCGCAGGAGCAUUCACCUACCCCUCCCGCCUCUCGCCGGCCCGCGCGCGCCCGUCACGCGGCUGCAGAGAAGCCGCGGCGGCCCGCGCCAU
ensembl:lncRNA